rnacentral:rRNA from 1 species
GUUUCGGCUGUCACUUACAGAUGGACCCGCGGCGCAUUAGCUAGUUGGUGGGGUAAUGGCUCACCAAGGCGACGAUGCGUAGCCGACCUGAGAGGGUGAUCGGCCACACUGGGACUGAGACACGGCCCAGACUCCUACGGGAGGCAGCAGUAGGGAAUCUUCCGCAAUGGACGAAAGUCUGACGGAGCAACGCCGCGUGAGUGAUGAAGGUUUUCGGAUCGUAAAACUCUGUUGUUAGGGAAGAACAAGUGCGAGAGUAACUACUCGCACCUUGACGGUACCUAACCAGAAAGCCACGGCUAACUACGUGCCAGCAGCCGCGGUAAUACGUAGGUGGCAAGCGUUGUCCGGAAUUAUUGGGCGUAAAGSGCUCGCAGGCGGUUUCUUAAGUCUGAUGUGAAAGCCCCCGGCUCAACCGGGGAGGGUCAUUGGAAACUGGGAAACUUGAGUGCAGAAGAGGAGAGUGGAAUUCCACGUGUAGCGGUGAAAUGCGUAGAGAUGUGGAGGAACACCAGUGGCGAAGGCGACUCUCUGGUCUGUAACUGACGCUGAGGAGCGAAAGCGUGGGGAGCGAACAGGAUUAGAUACCCUGGUAGUCCACGCCGUAAACGAUGAGUACUAAGUGUUAGGGGGUUUCCGCCCCUUAGUGCUGCAGCUAACGCAUUAAGCACUCCCGCCG